UACGGAGGGUGCGAGCGUUGUUCGGAAUCACUGGGCGUAAAGCGCGUGUAGGCGGCCUCCUAAGUCUGGUGUGAAAGCCCGGGGCUUACCCCCGGAAGUGCACUGGAAACUGGGAAGCUAGAGUACCGGAGAGGAGGGUGGAAGUCCUGGUGUAGCGGUGAAAUGCGUAGAUAUCAGGAGGAACACCGGUGGCGAAGGCGGCCCUCUGGCCGGAUACUGACGCUGAGACGCGAAAGCGUGGGGAGCAAACAGG
rnacentral:rRNA from 1 species